rnacentral:rRNA from 1 species
GACGAACGCUGGCGGCGUGCCUAAUACAUGCAAGUAGGACGCAGUUGCGAACGGGGGAGUAACGCGUAGGUAACUACCUAUUAGAGGGGGAUAACUAUUGGAAACGAUAGCUAAUACCGCAUACUAGUAGCUGGACCUGCGUUGUAUUAGCUAGUAGGUAGGGUAAUGUCGUACUUAGGCAACGAUACAUAUCCGACCUGAGAGGGUGAGCGGCCACAAUGGAACUGAGACACGUCCCAGACUCCUCCGGAAGACAGCAGUAGUGAGUCUUCGGGAAUGGGGGGAACCCUGACCGGGCAACGCCGCGUGAGGGAAGAAGGUUUUCGGUUCGUAAAGCUCUGUUGUUAAGGAAGCGGUACUUAACCAGAAAGGGACGGCUAACUACGUGCCAGCAGCCGCGGUAAUUC